UACGUAGGAUCCAAGCGUUGUCCGGAUUUACUGGGUGUAAAGGGUGCGCAGGCGGACUUGUUAGUCAGAGGUGAAAUCUCACGGCUCAACCGUGAAACUGCCUUUGAUACUGCAGGUCUUGAAUUGGGGAGAGAGUUGUGGAAUUCCGAGUGUAGCAGUGAAAUGCGUAGAUAUCAAGUGGAACACCAGUGGCGAAGGCGAGUCCCUGGACAACUCCUGACACUGAGGCACGAAAGCUAGGGGAGCAAACAGG
rnacentral:rRNA from 1 species